rnacentral:lncRNA from 1 species
GGAAUAAUAGUGCAAUUUUGCUAAAGGAUGACGUCAUCUCUUUGCCAUUGUAUCUGCCAUCCUAAGUAGCCCAAAAUCCACCCAGGCUGGAGAAUGAAUUACAAGGACAUCACGCUGGCAAGGUGAGAUGAAAUAAAAAACAGACAGUAAAAUUUAAUUUAAAAAAGAGGAGAGCUUUGCAAAGAUCCAGUUUGCAAUAUAUUUUUCUUAGGUAAGGACUUGAUCUAAUUACCAUAUCAUAAUUUGCCAUCAUUUUGGAUUAGCAGGAAAGAUGCAAAGCUUAUUCCUAAUAACUGGAUUGCUAUAGGUACACGAGUAUACCACCAGACUAUAAUUAGGCACGAUGUAAUUGAUUUCAGUCUUUAAAGGGCACAUUUAAAUGCCAGCAAAUAAAGAUGCCGUUAUCAGUUAAACCCACUCACUACUCAUGUUCCUCAGGGUGACACCAGGGAAGCGUGCGCUGGGCUUUCUUUGGAUACAAAGAAAAGAAUGUCAUCAUCCCAAAAAAGUAGUUUGUGACUCUGUACUGGUUUUGGAGAUCCCAUGGAAGCAGCAAAUACUAUUCUCAUUCUGCUGAUGGAAAACCCACUUCCAAGAAAGAAUAAUGGAGAACUCAGAGUGGCUUGUGAAAUAAAGCACAUGCAUGUUUCUAUCUUGGUUGC